rnacentral:rRNA from 1 species
GAUGAACGCUAGCUACAGGCCUAACACAUGCAAGUCGAGGGGAAACGGCAGCUUAGCUUGCUAAGCUGGACGUCGACCGGCGCACGGGUGAGUAACGCGUAUCCAACCUGCCCCACGGUGAGGGAUAACCCGCGGAAACGCGGCCUAAUACCUCAUGGCCUCCGAGCUUGACAUCAACCUUGGAGUAAAGAUUCAUUGCCGUGGGAUGGGGAUGCGUCCGAUUAGCUUGACGGCGGGGUGACGGCCCACCGUGGCGACGAUCGGUAGGGGUUCUGAGAGGAAGGUCCCCCCANAUUGGAACUGAGACACGGUCCAAACUCCUACGGGAGGCAGCAGUGAGGAAUAUUGGUCAAUGGACGCAAGUCUGAACCAGCCAAGUAGCGUGCAGGAUGACGGCCCUAUGGGUUGUAACUGCUUUUAUGCGGGGAUAAAGUGUGGGACGUGUCCCAUAUUGCAGGUACCGCAUGAAUAAGGACCGGCUAAUUCCGU